GAUGAACGCUAGCUACAGGCUUAACACAUGCAAGUCGAGGGGCAGCACAGUGUAGCAAUACAUGGGUGGCGACCGGCGCACGGGUGCGUAACGCGUAUCCAACCUUCCCGAUACUCAGGGAUAGCCUUCCGAAAGGGAGAUUAAUACCUGAUGGUGUUCAAAUUCCGCAUGUUGUUUGAACUAAAGAUUUAUCGGUAUCGGAUGGGGAUGCGUGACAUUAGAUAGUAGGCGGGGUAACGGCCCACCUAGUCUACGAUGUCUAGGGGUUCUGAGAGGAAGGUCCCCCACACUGGAACUGAGACACGGUCCAGACUCCUACGGGAGGCAGCAGUGAGGAAUAUUGGUCAAUGGUCGGAAGACUGAACCAGCCAAGUAGCGUGAAGGAUGAAGGUUCUAUGGAUUGUAAACUUCUUUUAUACGGGAAUAAAACCUCCCACGUGUGGGAGCUUGUAUGUACCGUAUGAAUAAGCAUCGGCUAACUCCGUG
rnacentral:rRNA from 1 species